CCUACGGGAGGCAGCAGUGGGGGAUAUUGCACAAUGGGGGAAACCCUGAUGCAGCGACGCCGCGUGGGUGAAGAAGCGCCUCGGCGCGUAAAGCCCUGUCAGCAGGGAAGAAAAUGACGGUACCUGAAGAAGAAGCCCCGGCUAACUACGUGCCAGCAGCCGCGGUAAUACGUAGGGGGCAAGCGUUAUCCGGAUUUACUGGGUGUAAAGGGGGCGCAGACGGCGAUGCAAGCCAGGAGUGAAAGCCCGGGGCCCAACCCCGGGACUGCUCUUGGAAAUGCGUGGCUAGAGUGCAGGAGGGGCAGGCGGAAUUCCUGGUGGAGCGGUGAAAUGCGUAGAUAUCAGGAGGAACACCGGUGGCGAAGGCGGCCUGCUGGACUGCAACUGACGUUGAGGCCCGAAAGCGUGGGGAGCAAACAGGAUUAGAUACCCCAGUAGUC
rnacentral:rRNA from 1 species